rnacentral:rRNA from 1 species
UGGCGGACGGGUGAGUAACGCGUGGGUAACCUGCCCCAUACAGGGGGAUAACGGUUAGAAAUGACUGCUAAUACCGCAUAAGCGCACAGUACCGCAUGGUACAGUGUGAAAAACUCCGGUGGUAUGAGAUGGACCCGCGUCUGAUUAGCUAGUUGGUGGGGUAACGGCCCACCAAGGCGACGAUCAGUAGCCGACCUGAGAGGGUGACCGGCCACAUUGGGACUGAGACACGGCCCAG